rnacentral:rRNA from 1 species
UACGGAAGGGGCAAGCGUUGUUCGGAAUCAUUGGGCGUAAAGCGCGCGUAGGCGGUUACUUAAGUUGGAUGUGAAAGCCCUCGGCUUAACCGAGGAAGUGCAUCCAAAACUGAGUAGCUAGAGUACGAAAGAGGGUCGCGGAAUUCCCGGUGUAGAGGUGAAAUUCGUAGAUAUCGGGAGGAACACCGGUGGCGAAGGCGGCGACCUGGGUCGAGACUGACGCUGGGAGCGCGAAAGCGUGGGGAGCAAACAGG